ACACCAGCCACUGCCCUUCCAUGACAUGGGGACAAGAGAGGGCAAAAGUUCAUCCUACCAGGGAGCAACUCAGGGCAGGAGAUGGGGAAGGAGGAGAAGCAGGAAGGAAAGAGCUCAGUUUGGGGGUGCACAUGACAUCUUGGUGGGACAUCUGAGGCCCACACCCACCUGCUGUCCCUGACUCCCAUGGUGGCCUCCUAGUGUGAAGGCCUGGGGGGAGGCAGACGCCAUGCCCUUCACUCUCCCUCCCUGUCCCCAUGGCUCCUGGGUGGGGGGCAUCUCUGGGUUGAUACCUGAGAGCGGGAUCUGGGAGUCCCUGCAGAGACAUCAGCCUGUCUGUCUUGAUGGUGCAGAGGAGGCUCCAGCUGGGUGGGACCACCAGGGGAGGGACGUCUGCUCUGCUGGCUCAGCCUAGUGUGGACCCACCUCCAGGCCUCUGGCUGCAAUGACUUUCUCUUUCACUUUGCAAUGGCCUUGGGUCCUGCCUCAAGGAGCAGCCUGUCUUUGUCACAGGUCCCUCUACACAGGGGAGGGCCCCAGAGAAAACCAGAAACAGGGUGAAAGACUGAGUAAGAUAAGCAUCCCAUGGCCUCCCACACCAGCGCCAGAACAGGAAGGGGGAGGGGCCAAGACUCACAAGGCCUUGGGAGAUCACUUUUUUUUUUGAGACAGAGUCUCGCUCUCUCACCGAGGCUGGAGUACAGUGGCACGAUCUUGACUCACUGCAACCUCCGCCUCCCGGGUUCAAGCGAGCCUCCUGAGUAGCUGGGAUUACAGGUGCCCACCACCACACCCGGCUAAUUUUUGUAUUUUUAGUAGAGACGGGGUUUCUGCAUUUUGGUCAGGCUGGUCUGGAACUCCUGACCUCGUGAUCCGCCUGCCUCAGCCUCCCAAAGUGCUGGGAUUACAGGCAUGAGACACCGUGCCUGGCUGGGAGGUCAUUUUAAGGAGGGCUGCCCAACUGCAAGGGCGCUGUAAGCAGGAAGUGAAACCACAGCGCUUCAAAAAAAAGAGCGGGACUGGGACAAGCGUAUCUAAGAGGCUGAACAUGAAUCCACAGAUCAGAAAUCCGAUGGAGCGGAUGUAUCGACGCACAUUCUACUACAACUUUGAAAAUGAACCCAUCCUCUAUGGUCGGCGCUACACCUGGCUGUGCUACGAAGUGAAAAUAAAGAAGGACCCCUCAAAGCUCCCUUGGGACACAGGGGUCUUUCCAGGCCAGCCUCAGUACCACGCAGAAAUAUACUUCCUCUCUUGGUUCUGUGGCAACCAGCUGCCUGCUUACAAGCACUUCCAGAUCACCUGGUUUGUAUCCUGGAACCCUGCCCGGACUGUGGCAAAAAGGUGACCGAAUUCCUGGCUGAGCACCGCAAUGUCACCCUGACCAUCUCCGCCGCCCGCCUCUACUACUACCGGGGUAAAGAUUGGCGGAGGGCGCUCUGCAGGCUGCAUCAGGCAGGGGCUCGAGUGAAGAUCAUGGACUAUAAAGAAUUUGCAUACUGCUGGGAAAACUUUGUGUACAAUGAAGGUCACAGCCUAUCAUGCCUUGGGACAAAUUCGAUGGGACAAUUAUGCAUCUCUGCACCUCAAGCUAAAGGAGAUUCUCAGAAACCCAAUGGAGGCAAUGUAUCCACACAUAUUCUACUUCACUUUAAAAACUGCACGAAAGCCUAUGGUCGGAACGAAAGCUGGCUGUGCUUCACCAUGGAAAUUAUAAAGCAGUGUUCAACUGUCUCCUGGAAGAGGGGGCUGCCUCUCCGAAACCAGGCCGAUCCUGAGAGCCGUUGUCAUGCAGAAAGGUGCUUCUCUCCUGGUCUCAUGAGGACAUACUGUCUCCUAACACAGACUACCAGGUCACCUGUACACUCCUGAGCCCUUGCCUAGAUUGUGCAGGGAGGGCUGAGUUCCUGGCCCGGCACAGUAAUGUGAAGCUGCUCAUCUAUACCUCUCCGCCUAGCUACUUCUGGGCAUACAGAUUACUGGCAGGGGCUCCGCAGCCUGAUGUGAGGAAGGGGCCUGGGAGAUCAUGGCUACGAAGAUUUUAAAUGUUGUUGGGAAAACUGUGUACAAUGGUGAUGCAGAGCUGCUCAAGCCUUGGAAGGGACUAAACAGCAAUUUUCAUUCCUGGACAGCAAGCUGCAGGAGAUUCUCGAGUGAGGGGUCUCCCCAGGCCUCAUGGUCUGUCUCCUCUAGC